rnacentral:rRNA from 1 species
ACAGGCAGCUCAAGUGGUGGCCAAUUUUAUUGGGCCUAAAGCGUUAGUAGCCGGUUUGAUAAGUCUCUGGGGAAAUCACGCAGCUUAACUGUGGGGCUUGCUGGAGAUACUAUUAGACUUGAGGUCGGGAGAGGUUAGGGGUACUCCCAGGGUAGGGGUGAAAUCUUGUAAUCCUCGGAGGACCACCAGUGGCGAAGGCGCCUAACUGGAACGAACCUGACGGUGAGUAACGAAAGCCAGGGGCGCGAACCU